AGCACUGCAAGUUCCAGGCAGAACUAACUUGGUCAUAUGAUUCUCAUCUCUCUAAAACUCUUCUGCAGUAAUGUUCAACUUCCUGUGUUCCUCAGCCACUGGAGAACACAACAGCUGACGGCGUCAUCUCUGAAAGGAAGUUAAGCAGCUCUCUGAAGUGUCUCUAAAAUCAACCUUUCCCACCCUGGAUUGUAAGGUACUGUUGUUCUCCUCUGUGUUACUCCAUUAUGUGCUAAUGCAUGAUUGAAAAAGUGCUGAGUUCUAGAUAGCUGGCCUAGGAGGCCCCUGAGAAGCAAGUUACCCUGGCAGCACAUUUCAGUGGUAUGAUGGGACCUGAACAUCACUGAAGGACUACUUUUAUGUAUCCUGUCUUUUCUAGCCACAGCACAAACGACAAUGUCUUCUGCUAAUCUGCUAGAGAUAAAAUGUUGAAAAAUGUUAAAACUGUUCUCUGCUGAUGUAUACAGUUUUGUGGAAAUUCUGUGUGGGACAGAAGAAAAGCAUCUUUUACUGCUUCCCGGUUAUUUGGAAACUGACCAUCCCAGAGUUUUAGAAGAAAUCUCUUCAUCAACAUCCAGCCACUCUCUUCUAAACAGCCAAGAAUUUUUAAGAACUGAAAAAGAACAUGUAAUCAUAUGUAAUUUCCAAUAAAAGAAUUUCCGUUACUUGUAA